rnacentral:tRNA from 1 species
GUUUUAAUAAUUUAAAUUAAAAAUUUUGAUUUUGUAAAUCAAAUAUAAGAUAUUCUUUUAAAACU